CUCAUACAAUCACUGAAGUUAAGCAACAUCGAGCCUAGUCAGUACCUAGAUGAGUGACCACUUGGGAAUAACAGGUGCUGUAAG